GACGAACGCUGGCGGCGUGCUUAACACAUGCAAGUCGAACGGUAAGGCCCUUCGGGGUACACGAGUGGCGAACGGGUGAGUAACACGUGGGUGAUCUGCCCUGCACUUCGGGAUAAGCCUAGGAAACUGGGUCUAAUACCGGAUAGGACCACUGCCUGCAUGGGUGGGGGUGGAAAGCUUUUGCGGUGUGGGAUGGGCCCGCGGCCUAUCAGCUUGUUUGUGGGGUGAUGGCCUACCAAGGCGCCGACGGGGAGCCGGCCUGAGAGGGUGAACGGACACACUGGGACUGAGAUACGGCGCAGACUCCUGCGGGAGGCAGCAGUGGGGAAUAUUGCACAAUGGGCGCAAGCCUGAUGCAGCGACGCCGCGUGAGGGAUGACGGCCUUCGGGUUGUAAACCUCUUUCAGCACCGACGAAGCGCAAGUGACGGUAGGUGCAGAAGAAGGACCGGCCAACUACGUGCCAGCCGCCGCAGUAA
rnacentral:rRNA from 1 species